rnacentral:rRNA from 1 species
AGCCCAAAUUAAUUAUUAUACGGCGUAAAACGUGUAUGUAGAUCCCAUAAAUAGGAUUAAAAUUUUACUAGUAUGUGAAAAUUGGUUGUUAUAAUUAAAAUCACUAACGAAAGUAAUUCUAAUUUACCUUAUACACGAUAGCUAAGACCCAAACUGGGAUUAGAUACCCCACUAUGCUUAGCCCUAAACCUCAGUAAUUAUUUAACAAAAUUACUUGCCAGAGAACUACUAGCCACAGCUUAAAACUCAAAGGACUUGGCGGUACUUUAUAUCCACCUAGAGGAGCCUGUUCUAUAAUCGAUAAACCCCGCUAUACCUUACCACCCCUUGCUAAUU